rnacentral:rRNA from 1 species
AACGAACGCUGGCGGCAUGCCUAGCACAUGCAAGUCGAACGAGUACCUUUUAGGUCUAGUGGCGCACGGGUGCGUAACGCGUGGGAAUCUGCCCUUGGGUUCGGAAUAACAGUUGGAAACGACUGCUAAUACCGGAUGAUGACGUAAGUCAAAGAUUUAUCGCCCAAGGAUGAGCCCGCGUAGGAUUAGCUAGUUGGUGAGGUAAAGGCUCACCAAGGCUACGAUCCUUAGCUGGUCUGAGAGGAUGAUCAGCCACACUGGGACUGAGACACGGCCCAG